rnacentral:rRNA from 1 species
UACGGAGGGUGCAAGCGUUAUCCGGAUUCACUGGGUCUAAAGGGUGCGUAGGUGGGCAGGUAAGUCAGUGGUGAAAUCUCCGAGCUUAACUCGGAAACUGCCGUUGAUACUAUUUGUCUUGAAUAUUGUGGAGGUAAGCGGAAUAUGUCAUGUAGCGGUGAAAUGCUUAGAUAUGACAUAGAACACCAAUUGCGAAGGCAGCUUACUACACAACGAUUGACGCUGAGGCACGAAAGCGUGGGGAUCAAACAGG